rnacentral:rRNA from 1 species
CCUACGGGAGGCCGCAGUGAGGAAUAUUGGUCAAUGGGCGCGACCCUGAACCAGCCAAGUAGCGUGAGGGAAGACGGUCCUAUGGAUUGUAAACCUCUUUUGUCCGGGAGCAAAAGACGCCACGCGUGGCGUUUCGCAGGUACCCGAAGAAAAAGCAUCGGCUAACUCCGUGCCAGCAGCCGCGGUAAUACGGAGGAUGCGAGCGUUAUCCGGAUUUAUUGGGUUUAAAGGGUGCGCAGGCGGAAGAUCAAGCCGGCGGUAAAAUUGAGCGGCUCAACCUCGUCGAGCCGUUGAAAAUGGGUUUCUUGAGUGAGUGAGAGGUAGGCGGAAUGCGUGGUGUAGCGGUGAAAUGCAUAGAUAUCACGCAGAACUCCGAUUGCGAAGGCAGCAUACCGGCGCUCAACUGACGCUCAUGCACGAAAGUGUGGGUAGCGAACAGGAUUAGAUACCCGGGUAGUC